GGUGGCGUGGUGUAAUGGUCAGCAUGUAUCGUUGUGGUUAUUCAUCGUACAGCUCUUCUUUGGCCGUAUAUCAUGGUGUUUCCCAGCUCCGAUCCGAUCCCGGUUCGAUUCCGGGCGCCGCCA
rnacentral:tRNA from 1 species